rnacentral:rRNA from 1 species
AACGCUAGCUACAGGCUUAACACAUGCAAGUCGAGGGGCAGCAUGGUCUUAGCUUGCUAAGGCCGAUGGCGACCGGCGCACGGGUGAGUAACACGUAUCCAACCUGCCGUCUACUCUUGGACAGCCUUCUGAAAGGAAGAUUAAUACAAGAUGGCAUCAUGAGUCCACAUGUUCACAUGAUUAAAGGUAUUCCGGUAGACGAUGGGGAUGCGUUCCAUUAGAUAGUAGGCGGGGUAACGGCCCACCUAGUCUUCGAUGGAUAGGGGUUCUGAGAGGAAGGUCCCCCACAUUGGAACUGAGACACGGUCCAAACUCCUACGGGAGGCAGCAGUGAGGAAUAUUGGUCAAUGGACGCGAGUCUGAACCAGCCAAGUAGCGUGAAGGAUGACUGCCCUAUGGGUUGUAAACUUCUUUUAUAAGGGAAUAAAGUGAGGGACGUGUCCCUUUUUGUAUGUACCUUAUGAAUAAGGAUCGGCUAACUCCGUGCCAGCAGCCGCGGUAAUACGGAGGAUCCAAGCGUUAUCCGGAUUUAUUGGGUUUAAAGGGAGCGUAGGUUGACAUAUAAGUCAGCUGUGAAAGUUUACGGCUCAACCGUGAAAUUGCAGUUGAUACUGUAUGUCUUGAGUGUACAAGAGGUGGGCGGAAUUCGUGGUGUAGCGGUGAAAUGCUUAGAUAUCACGAAGAACUCCGAUUG